UCACUCCGGAAAACCACCCUUCGGCCGCAUCCCCGACGGCACACACUCGCCGUCCAGCGUCUCCACACUGGGGCAGCUUCAGGGACUUCCUCUCUCCCGAUCCCUGCCCCUCAUGCCCAGAACUGCCAAGCCCACGAGUCUCGGCCUCCGCCCAGAGCCGCUCCCACUACGACUCGCGCCAAAGGGCCCCAUCACCCACUUAAUUCCCUCCGCCGGCUCCACAACCACUCGUCCGCCGCGAACCCCGGCUCACUGAUUUCUCACAGACACUCCAAUCCCUUGACCCGCGAGCGCCCCACGAUUGGGCCGGCUCCACCAUCUCCCUCACAGCCUCCUCGUCACCCACCACCACAGGCGGCUCCGCCAGACCCCCAAAUCUCCCUCCUGACACCCACAGUCGCCGCCCGCCACACCCGUCCCAUCCCCACGCGCCCCCAGGCCCCUAAAGCUGCCCCAGAACCGCACCGCACCGCCCCCACGCCACGCCCCACCCGGACCGGAACCGGCGCCUGCGCUGCGUGGCCGGCCCCCACAACCUCCCCUCCCCCCCCGCCCCCGCCCCGGGUCCUCGUCGCACCCGGCUCCGGAGCCAGUUCGUGCGCGCGUCAGGGUUCACCGCGGGGCCCCCCGCGGACAUCAAGGCCGCCCCGGCCCCCGCAGCCUCGCCGCGUCGCCCCUACCCCCCACCUCAGGCUUCGGGCCGCUGCGCCGGGACUCACGCGGCCCACCUCGGAAGUGUGCGCGCAGAACUACAUUUCCCAGAGUGCCGCCCUCCCUAGAACUACAUCUCCCAGACGGCUCUGCGGCGCACCUCCCCGGAUUGGCAGGUCGGAGGUUUCCGAUGGACCUCCUCUCCCGCGCUGCCUGAGGGUUUCUGGGUCAGAAAUGUCAGGCGGAGCCGCUCUCCUCAAAAUAGGUCUGUGGGUGAACAUAAAUGUGCCACCAGGAGGAAACUUCUGUUCCUUUACAUUUCUGAUGCUAAAGCGAAGUCAUUUACAAAGUCAAAGUAAGUGA
rnacentral:lncRNA from 1 species